rnacentral:rRNA from 1 species
AUUGAACGCUGGCGGCACGCUUUACACAUGCAAGUCGAACGGCAGCGCGGGCUUCGGCCUGGCGGCGAGUGGCGAACGGGUGAGUAAUGCAUCGGAACGUGCCCAGUAGUGGGGGAUAGCUCGGCGAAAGCCGGAUUAAUACCGCAUACGACCUGAGGGUGAAAGCGGGGGAUCUUCGGACCUCGCGCUAUUGGAGCGGCCGAUGGCAGAUUAGCUAGUUGGUGGGGUAAAGGCCUACCAAGGCGACGAUCUGUAGCUGGUCUGAGAGGACGACCAGCCACACUGGGACUGAGACACGGCCCAGACUCCUACGGGAGGCAGCAGUGGGGAAUUUUGGACAAUGGGCGAAAGCCUGAUCCAGCAAUGCCGCGUGUGUGAUGAAGGCCUUCGGGUUGUAAAGCACUUUUGGCGGGAACGAAAAGGACUGUGCCAAUACCACGGUUCGAUGACGGUACCCGCAGAAUAAGCACCGGCUAACUACGUG